UGGGGAAUUUUGGACAAUGGGCGCAAGCCUGAUCCAGCCAUGCCGCGUGCAGGAAGAAGGCCUUCGGGUUGUAAACUGCUUUUGUCAGGGAAGAAAUCCUUUGGGCUAAUACCCCCGGAGGGAUGACGGUACCUGAAGAAUAAGCACCGGCUAACUGCGUGCCAGCAGCCGCGGUAAUACGUAGGGGUGCGAGCGUUAAAUCGGAAUUACUGGGCGUAAAGCGUGCGCAGGCGGCUUUGCAAGACAGGUGUGAAAUCCCCGGGCUCAACCUGGGAACUGCCAUUUUGGUGACUGCAAAGGCUAGAGUGCGGCAGAGGGAGAUGGAAUUCCGCGUGUAGCAGUGAAAUGCGUAGAUAUGCGGAGGAACACCGAUGGCGAAGGAAUCUCCUGGGCCUGCACUGACGCUCAUGCACGAAAAGCGU
rnacentral:rRNA from 1 species